rnacentral:lncRNA from 1 species
GUGUGAGCAUCAUUCGGUCUUUUUCGUGGAACGAUAUCUCAAAUUUGGAUAACGAAAACGUCCAGUAACCAGAUCCCAGCG